rfam:Loxodonta africana unplaced genomic scaffold scaffold_26, whole genome shotgun sequence.
GCAUUGGUGGUUCAGUGGUAGAAUUAUCAUCUUCCAUGCUGGAGACCUGGGUUUGAUCCCCAGCCAAUGCA